AAUAAAAGAGAAAAAAAAAAAAACACGCCCGAUCUCGUCUUAUGUUGGAAGCUAAGCAGGGUCUAGCCUGGUCAGUACGUGGAUGGGAGACCGCCUGGGAACACCAGGUGCUGUAAGCU
rfam:Gasterosteus aculeatus cont1.003652, whole genome shotgun sequence.